UCGUAACAAGGUCUCCGUUGGUGAACCAGCGGAGGGAUCAUUACCGAGUACUACACUCAUUACCCUUUGUGAACCAUUAUACCUGUUGCUUCGGCGGCGUCCCUCGCGGACGCCCGCCGGUCUCAUCAGAAUCUCUGUUUUCGAACCCGACGAUACUUCUGAGUGUUCUUAGCGAACUGUCAAAACUUUUAACAACGGAUCUCUUGGCUCCAGCAUCGAUGAAGAACGCAGCGAAACGCGAUAUGUAAUGUGAAUUGCAGAAUUCAGUGAAUCAUCGAAUCUUUGAACGCACAUGGCGCCUUCCAGUAUCCUGGGAGGCAUGCCUGUCCGAGCGUCGUUUCAACCCUCGAGCCCUCGUGGCCCGGCGUUGGGGAUCUGCCACGGCAGGCCCCGAAAUACAGUGGCGGACCCGUUAGGCCCUUCCUUUGCGUAGUAGCAUUAGCCUCGCAUCGGGAGCCGGCGGGCUCUCCUGCCUCUAAACCCCCCAACAAGCCCGCUUCGGCGGCACCAAGGUUGACCUCGGAUCAGGUAGGAAUACCCGCUGAACUUAAGCAUAUCAAUAAG
rnacentral:rRNA from 1 species